GAUGAACGCUGGCGGCGUGCUUAACACAUGCCAGUCGAACGGAAAGGCUCCUGCUUGCCGGGGCACUCGAGUGGCGAACGGGUGAGUAACACGUGGGUGAUCUGCCCUGCACUUCGGGAUAAGCCUGGGAAACUGGGUCUAAUACCGGAUAGGACCAUCGUUUAGUGUCGGUGGUGGAAAGUUUUUUCGGUGUGGGAUGAGCUCGCGGCCUAUCAGCUUGUUGGUGGGGUAAUGGCCUACCAAGGCGUCGACGGGUAGCCGGCCUGGGAGGGUGUACGGCCACAUUGGGACUGAGAUACGGCCCAGACUCCUACGGGAGGCAGCAGUGGGGAAUAUUGCACAAUGGGCGCAAGCCUGAUGCAGCGACGCCGCGUGGGGGAUGACGGCCUUCGGGUUGUAAACUCCUUUCGCCAGGGACGAAGCGAAAGUGACGGUACCUGGAUAAGAAGCACCGGCUAACUACGUG
rnacentral:rRNA from 1 species